UACAGAGGUCUCAAGCGUUGUUCGGAUUCAUUGGGCGUAAAGGGCUCGUAGGCGGCCAACUAAGUCCGACGUGAAAUCCCCAGGCUUAACCUGGGAACUGCGUCGGAUACUGGAUGGCUUGAAUCCGGGAGAGGGAUGCGGAAUUCCAGGUGUAGCGGUGAAAUGCGUAGAUAUCUGGAGGAACACCGGUGGCGAAGGCGGCAUCCUGGACCGGCAUUGACGCUGAUGAGCGAAAGCCAGGGGAGCAAACGGG
rnacentral:rRNA from 1 species